UCAGAAUAUUUUAUAAGAAUAAUAAUAUUCAAUAAUUUUAAUAAAAAUUUAUAUCAGAUCAAGGUGUAGCUUAUAUUUAAGUAAUAAUGGGUUACAAUAAAUUUAUUUAUAUGAAUAAAAUUAUGAAAAAAUUUUUGAAAGUGGAUUUAGUAGUAAAAUUAUAAAGAUUAAUAAUUUGAUUUUAGCUCUAAAAUAUGUACACAUCGCCCGUCGCUCUUAUUAUUAAGGUAAGAUAAGUCGUAACAUAGUAGAUGUACUGGAAAGUGUAUCUAGAAUGA
rnacentral:rRNA from 1 species